ensembl:snoRNA LOC120096391 small nucleolar RNA SNORA48
ACUCCCUGGCAAUGGGCAAAGAGACACCUUGGUGGUGUUCUUAUACCAGUCAGGGGCAGAGUGGAUGUGGUACUUUGUUCAUCCUAGCCUGAUGCCUGGCUUGGUGGUGAAGCUGUUUUAUGCGUGGAACACAUAA